UACGGAGGGUGCGAGCGUUGUCCGGAAUCACUGGGCGUAAAGGGCGCGUAGGCGGCAUGCCAAGCGUGUGGUGAAAGCCCGGGGCUCAACCCCGGGUCGGCCGUGCGGACUGGCGUGCUCGAGCACUGUAGGGGCGGGUGGAAGUUCCGGGUGUCGAGCGGUGGGAAUGCGUAGAGAUCCGGAAGAACACCGGUGGCGAAGGCGGCCCGCUGGGCAGGAAGGCUCGCAAGAGCCGGCUGACGCUGAGGCGCGACAGCGUGGGGAGCAAACAGG
rnacentral:rRNA from 1 species